GACGUAGGGCGCGAGCGUUGUCCGGAUUUAUUGGGCGUAAAGAGCUCGUAGGCGGCUUGUUGCGUCGACUGUGAAAACCCGCGGCUUAACUGCGGGCUUGCAGUUGAUACGGGCAGGCUAGAGUUCGGUAGGGGAGACUGGAAUUCCUGGUGUAGCGGUGAAAUGCGCAGAUAUCAGGAGGAACACCGGUGGCGAAGGCGGGUCUCUGGGCCGAUACUGACGCUGAGGCGCGAAAGCUAGGGGAGCAAACGGG
rnacentral:rRNA from 1 species